rnacentral:rRNA from 1 species
GCGGCUUAAUUUGACUCAACGCGGGGUAAUUUACCAGGUAUAACAUGGUAUAAUAUUUUAUCAUGAUAGUGGUGCAUGGCCGUUUCCAAUGGAUGCUGUGAAGUAAUGAUUAAUUUCAACAAGAUGUGAGACCCUCAUUUAGACAGAUGUAGUGAUACAUAUGAAGGAGAGGAUUAAAACAGGUCCGUUAUGCCCUAAGAUAAUCUGGGUUGCACGCGCAAUACAAUAAUAUUUGAUAUUAUAAGGGAUAAUAUAAUGUAAGAUAUAUUUGAACAUGGAAUUGCUAGUAAAUUUUAUUUAAUAAGUAGAAUUGAAUGAGUCCCUGUUCUUUGUACACACCGCCCGUCGCUAUCUAAGAUGGUAUUAUCUAAGAACAAAUUUAUAAAGUGAAUAGAUAGUACUAGAUCUGAUAUAAGUCGUAACAUGGUUGCUGUUGGAGAACCAUUAGCAGGAUCAUAA